rnacentral:rRNA from 1 species
GAUGAACGCUGGCGGCGUGCUUAACACAUGCAAGUCGAACGGUGAAACAGGAGCUUGCUCCUGUGGAUCAGUGGCGAACGGGUGAGUAACACGUGAGUAACCUGCCCUUGACUCUGGGAUAAGCGUUGGAAACGACGUCUAAUACCGGAUACGAGCUUCAGUCGCAUGGCUAGGAGCUGGAAAGAAUUUCGGUCAAGGAUGGACUCGCGGCCUAUCAGCUAGUUGGUGAGGUAACGGCCCACCAAGGCGACGACGGGUAGCCGGCCUGAGAGGGUGACCGGCCACACUGGGACUGAGACACGGCCCAGACUCCUACGGGAGGCAGCAGUGGGGAAUAUUGCACAAUGGGCGCAAGCCUGAUGCAGCAACGCCGCGUGA